rnacentral:rRNA from 1 species
UUGACGGGGCCCGCACAAGCGGAGGAACAUGUGGUUUAAUUCGAUGAUACGCGAGGAACCUUACCUGGGCUUAAAUGUAGAGUGCAUUUUUUAGAGAUAGAAAUUCCCUUCGGGGCUUUCUGCAAGGUGCUGCAUGGUUGUCGUCAGCUCGUGCCGUGAGGUGUCGGGUUAAGUCCCAUAACGAGCGCAACCCUUAUCGUUAGUUGCCAUCUGGUAAUGCAGGGGACUCUAGCGAAACUGCCACCGUAAGGUGAGAGGAAGGUGGGGAUGACGUCAAAUCAGCACGGCCCUUAUGUCCAGGGCUACACACGUGUUACAAUGGUCGGUACAGAGGGCAGCUACCUGGUGACAGGAUGCUAAUCUCGAAAACCGGUCUCAGUUCGGAUCGAAGUCUGCAACUCGACUCCAUGAAGUUGGAAUCGCUAGUAAUCGCGGAUCAGCAUGCCGCGGUGAAUACGUUCCCGGGCCUU